GUAGACUGUCAACGGACACCAUUAUGAGCCCUCCAUGUUCAGCAUUGUAGAUCUGUGUCCCUCGGUGAGGGCCUGGAUGGUGGGGGAUGAUCUUUGACUCCUGCUUAAUCCCCUUUGUGGGGCAGCUGUGCAGGUGUCUCUCUGGUGGUAAGAGGCUGAUUCCCAAUCCAGUUUCCUCCGGGAUGGUGAUGUGGCUGUUGUUACCUGCUAUUACUCAGCAUAAAGCAGCAACAAAUAAAGGAGGGAUUGCUGGAGGCUCUUGGCAGGACCAAGCAAAGCUACAUGGCCUACAUAACUUCCUUGACUAAAGGCACAAUGCUUAGGAUGACGGUUUUGCAGGCUCGAGAGAGAAGGAAAAUGGGAUGAGGUUAGAAGAUCGGAAAGGAAUAGAAGGACCAAUUAACAACUUUUUACAGCAUGGACUAUUAGUGGAAUGUGAAUCAGAAUAUAAUACCCCCAUAUUACCGGUGAAAAAGCUGGACGGAACUUAUCGGGUACAGGAUUUAAGAGAAGUCAAUAAAACUGUUAAGGACCUACGCCCUGUGGUAGUCAAUCCUUAUACUUUAAUUACUAAAUUACGAGAUAAUCAAGUAUGGUUUAUGGUAUUAGAUUUGAAAGAUGCAUUCUUCUGUUUGCCUUUAGCCAAAGAAAGUCAAAAUUUAUUUGCAUUUGAAUGGGAAAGUCCUACCACUGGUAGAAAAACCCAGCUUACCUGGACAGCAUUACCCCAAGGUUUUAAGAAUAGUCCAACAAUUUUUGGAAAUCAAUUAGCACGAGAACUUGAAACAUGGGAUCCUCCCUAUGGAGAUGGAAUCCUUUUACAGUAUGUGGAUGACUUAUUAAUAGCAACUGAAACAAAACCUGACUGUAUACAGUGGACUAUCAGCUUGUUGAACUUUUUGGGACUAAAUGCAUAUUGAGUCUCUCAACAGAAAGCUCAGAUGGUGCGGCAACGGGUAACCUACCUUGGAUUUGAACUAUCUGGAGGAC